UACGUAGGGUGCAAGCGUUGUCCGGAAUUAUUGGGCGUAAAGAGCUCGUAGGCGGUUUGUCGCGUCUGGUGUGAAAAUCCAGGGCUUAACCCUGGACCUGCAUCGGGUACGGGCAGACUAGAGUGCGGUAGGGGAGAUCGGAAUUCCUGGUGUAGCGGUGAAAUGCGCAGAUAUCAGGAAGAACACCUAUGGCGAAAGCAGCUCUCUGGGACGGUACUGACGCUGAGACGCGAAAGCGUGGGGAGCGAACAGG
rnacentral:rRNA from 1 species